ensembl:lncRNA
GAUUUCUACACAGAAACAGAAACUCUGACCUCUGUUGAACAUUUUAACUCUUCAUCGAACUCAACAAACGGACGUUUCGUGUGUUGAGGUUCGGUUUCUUUGCUUGAAGUGAAGCCGGUCGUGUCGUGGUCAGCUCGCUUUGUGAAGAUGGUGCGUACUAAACAGAAGAAGAAUCUGGAUAUUGAAGAUGUCCUUCUUGUCCAGAGUACACGGAGCAACAACAGACCACAUGAUGUAAAGGAAGAGGAGCAACGUCUGGUUGAUGAUGAUCUUCUGCUGGCUUCUUUAUUUUCUUCUGGCAGCUCUCGGAUUCGGUCGGUCAGGAUCUUCCUCCACCUGAACUUCUCGCAGCGUGGAAAGAAAAGAAAAGAUCCUGGAGGAAGUAAAAUAAACAAAAGGGGGAGCGGAGGGAGAGUUGGGGGGAGGAUUCAGAGCCCAGCGGAAAGAAAGCAGAGCAGGGGUUAACCCGGCCCCCAGCUGAAGAUGUCCGUGCUGCUUUCUGUCAUCAUCUCCCCUCCUUGGUUCCUCCUCAUGCUGGAAUACGUCUGUCAGUCAGGCUCAAUUGUUUCCAGCUCUGCUGAUGUUCCUUUGUGGUGGUCUCACUUCAAUUCAUGACCCACUUUCCACCGAGCACAUUCCCAACGUUCCUAAGAACCACGAUUGAUAUCCGUCACCACUGAAAGGGAUUCUAUUCACCAACAUCUGUCCUCACUGUCCUCGCUCCUCUGCACAUGCAGGUUCUUCCGCAGGAAUCAGGUGUCACCGCUCGGCCUCCUGGGUAAAUGUAAACCAGGCCUCAGGGAGGAACCGGGGCUGUGAGAAACAAAGUGGACCGCCAGAAAGGAACCCGGUUCCUGGAAAGAAGCCGGGCCACUGUGAGGGAGCCUAGAAGGAAGGAAUUGAAGCGGGCUGCAGAACAGAAACGAGGCCAGUGAGAAGGAACCUCACUGAAGCAAAAGAACCGGCAGGAACCAGAGCAGUAGGUAGUUAUCAUAGAACCAUAGUCCAUAAUAGAACCGGUGUGUUGGAAGGAACAAGAACAUCUCUGAAGGAGACACUCUGAGAACGUGUCACAGCUCGGAGUCACUUCUUCUUCUGAACUUCAUGCUCAUAUCCAAGUUCUUCAUUUUAACGAUAAUGUCCUCGUUGCUUCGGUUUCUGAGCUCUGACAGGUGAGACUCUGUGACCUUUGACCCCACUGAUAGGAGCCGUCACAAGCAGAUCAACAGGACCUUCGUGGUUUACUGCACCGCAGGAGGUCAGGAACAUGAAAUGUUACCCUGAGUUCUGUCUCCACCCUUUAUGACCCACUUAGUCUGAUAACGAGCUGGUUUACGGGCUGCACCUGAGUGCCGACUCCCCAGGUGAACCCUGCAAGACGGACAGGCGCUAGAGGAGGGGGCGGGGCCAUGGACAUAGGUGGUGUCAUGUGAUUCCUCCACUAAACACACCCAUCACAUUCCAUUAAGAGCAGCAGAUCUGUGAUGAAGAUCUCACAUCUGAACGUGUCCAGGAGGUGAUGUUGCCAACUGAUCCGCCACAGCGCAGAUGUUGUUGUUGAUGUUGUUGUUGUUGUUGAUGCUGUCACAGCUCUGCUCCACGUGACUGCUGCCUUCCAUCCCCGUUGUUCUGGUACUCCAGGUAGUCCACUCUGUAGACCGGUCCUGCGUGAUGUGUUGGCGGUGGAGGGUUCGGCGUGCUGCUCGGAGGCACUACGGCAGCAUGUUUCUGUCUUCAUCAGGUCCGUUGAUGACAUCGGGAGAGUUACAAACAGGGAUCCACCGGAGUUCUGGCUUGCUUUGGUUUUCAGGUGACUCACCUGAGGCUCCACUGUGGAAUGUGACUCUCUGUUUAAUACAAAAGCUCAUAAAGGGGAAACCAGUGGUUAGUGUGAGUGACGGGUCUGGGUGGUCUGAGGGAGGCCUGGGGGGGCUUCACCUCCUGAUUUAUGAGGUCUGAUGAAGUUAAAUCCCACUGAGCCCUUUUUGUUGUCUCACUCUGUUGUUCUUAUGAGGAUGGAAACUGUUAUCAGAGUUUGCUCAGGUGUUCCCCUCCAGAGCCGUGUUCUCUUUCCACAUGUGAUCACGUGAUUGUUCCUGUCGCCGCUGAUGUCACCUCAGCCAGCGGGCUGCGUGGGCACCAGGUUUUGGAAGAUAAGAAGAAUGUGCUGAAUAAAAAAGAAUGUCAUGGAGCCUGAGG